rnacentral:rRNA from 1 species
UACGUAGGGGGCAAGCGUUGUCCGGAUUUACUGGGCGUAAAGAGCGUGUAGGCGGCCAAGCAGGUCCGUUGUGAAAACUGGAGGCUUAACCUCCAGACGUCGACGGAAACCGCGUGGCUAGAGUCCGGAAGAGGAGAGUGGAAUUCCUGGUGUAGCGGUGAAAUGCGCAGAUAUCGGGAGGAACACCAAUGGCGAAGGCAGCUCGCUGGGACGUUACUGACGCUGAGAAGCGAAAGCUGGGGAGCGAACAGG